AGAGUUUGAUCAUGGCUCAGGACGAACGCUGGCGGCGUGCCUAAUGCAUGCAAGUCGCACGCAGGGUGCUUGCACUCUGAGUGGCGCACGGCUGAGGACCACGUGGGAACAUGCCUCCUUGUGGGGGACAACACCGCGAAAGCGGUGCUAAUCCCGCAUACGCUCUUGUAAGAGAGGAAAGCCGUAAGGCGCAGGGAGAGUGGCCCGCGGCCCAUCAGGUCGUAGGUGGGGUAACGGCCUACCUAGCCAAUGACGGGUAGCUGGUCUGUGAGGACAGACAGCCAGACUGGGACUGAGACACGGCCCAGACUCCUACGGGAGGCAGCAGCAAGGAAUUUUCGUCAAUGGGCGCAAGCCUGAACGAGCAACGCCGCGUGGAGGAUGACGGCCUUCGGGUUGUAAACUCCUUUUUCGGGGGACGAUAAUGACGGUACCCCGGGAAUAGGCUGGCUAACUUGUGCCAGCAGCCGCGGUA
rnacentral:rRNA from 1 species